rnacentral:rRNA from 1 species
UACAGAGGGUGCAAGCGUUGUUCGGAAUUAUUGGGCGUAAAGAGCUCGUAGGCGGUGUGUCGCGUCGGCCGUGAAAGUCCGGGGCUCAACUCCGGAUCUGCGGUGGGUACGGGCAGACUAGAGUGAUGUAGGGGAGACUGGAAUUCCUGGUGUAGCGGUGAAAUGCGCAGAUAUCAGGAGGAACACCGAUGGCGAAGGCAGCUCGCUGGGACGGUACUGACGCUGAGACGCGAAAGCGUGGGGAGCAAACAGG